GCAAGGGCAGCUCUGAGGGGUGCUCCUGGUCCAGCUCUCCUGGCUCAGGGAUUCCUUGCCUAGGCGCCGGCGCCCCAGGCUCCUUGCCUAGGCCCCUGUGGCCUGCAUAGAGUGGCGCUGCCUGUGGAGGCGAUGGGAGAGAAGAAGGAGGGCGGUGGUGGGGGUGAUGCGGCGGCCACGGAGGGUGGCACAGGGGCUGCGGCCAGCCGGGCGCUGCAGCAGUGCGGGCAGCUCCAGAAGCUCAUCGUCAUCUUCAUUGGCAGCCUGUGCGGGCUGUGCACCAAGUGCGCUGUGUCCAACGACCUCACCCAGCAGGAGAUACAGACCCUGGAGGUGAGGAAACCGAAGGCCUGAGGGAGAAAUGACUUGCCAGGAACCCCUGUUAAGGAAAAUUAACAAAGUGUGGUUAUUAAAGAAGAACUGAGUUGGGAGUCAGACCUGGAGGCCCGCACCCGUGGUUAAGACAUUAUACCACCUUGAGUCUGGCCUGUUGACUGAGGAUUCUUUUCAAUAUACCCCAUCAUGGUUGAACUCAAAAAUCAUUGCUUAUUUAAAAUCUACAACUGCUGACGUUUUGUAACGUUCGCAUUCCAGAUACAACAGAGAAAUGCAUAAUGUCCAGUCAAUUUAUUAAAGUUCCAAAGUCGGUCGCGCGCAGUGGCUCACGCCUGUAAUCUCAACACUUCGGGAGGCCGAGGCGUGUGGAUCACGAGUAUGUUUCCAGUCUCAAUAGAAAUCGAUGCCAAUCCAGAAAUACAAGCAUUAUUCUAAUACUUCUCACACAUUACUGCAGGAGUGAGGACACAGCGAAAGUGAGACAAGGAAAAGAGAACAAAAUAAAACAGGAAAGACAGAAAAGCCAAUACCACACGUGUUAAGAGUUUCAAGGAAAAUAUGUUUGGAGUUCCUGGCAUAGAGAAUGUCACAAAGACAUGUUUUCAAUAGUAGUGCUAUCCCGAGCGCAGAGAAGACCCAAAGAAAGCCCAAGUGGCUGCUGGAACAAAAUCAGACACCGUGCCACCUGUCCACACUCCUUGGCUCUGCCAUCAUGCUGAAGAUCGCUUUAAAGGACUGGCUUCCCUCCCCCCAAAAUUAAAAGAGCACAGACUGAGAAACUGAAUGUGGGAGACAGCAGUGGAUUAUGCUGUUCUCAGGGGUCACCUCAGGUUUGGAAGCAUUCUUUCAAAUUAACCCAUCUCAGGCCAUCUGCAGAGAAGAAAGGUGGUACCUAACUUUUUUUCUUGUCGGCAUUUGGUAGGGGUGUUUUAUUGACCAAAUAUGUUCCCACAACCUCGUUUUUUGUGACUAACUAAAUAUAGUAGAGUUUUAAAUUUUAUCAUCAAAAUCUAUAGACAAUUUUUGAUGAAAAUAGACUCCAUCUCUAUGUCCUGCUUUUCUUCUUCUUAUUAAUUACAUUGCUGUAUAAAAGAACAAGACUUCAGCAUCAAGAAUAUCUUGUCUCUUGGCAUUGAAUUUAUACAAGGUGCUCUUUCUUUAAUGCUGUCUCAAAGGACAUAUUUUUACUCAUUAAAAAGGAAGAUCGGAAUCUAGUUGUAUGCACUGCUCCAACAUAUUAAUAAUUAAAAUUAGGAGGUAAAUGUGGUCAAAGCUAUAGAAAGACUGAGAUGUCAUUUACAUCGAUUACUCUAUAGCACUCUACAAACAGAAAUUGUUAAAUAAUAGUUUAUAUAAAUAUUUUGUAGCAUUUCAAAUAUUUGAGUGCUUGAAGUUUCUCCUCUUUUAUAGUUCAGAUUAUCAAUUUGAAGACUUACUCCGCUAGUUAAUAUGUUUUUAGUCUCGUUUGAGUAUUAUAUAAAAGCAAUUUUCAGUUAAAUGUGUUCCGCUUACAUAAAACGUUACAAAUUAUUGAGGAUUUAAUUACUUAUUCAUGUUCCUGUAAUGUCUUUAGAAGAUUUUCUUAUUAUUACCUAUCAAUAUAUGUAUGCUUUGUCAAAGAAAAAUCAAACAUAUAUAUCAUUGAAAUUGAAACUUUUUAAAAGUACUUAUUAAUUCUAUUGAAAAACCACAUCCAUAGGAACAAUUACAAUAUAAUAUUGUGAACAUGUAAACAUAUACCCUAUGUCUAUUUUAUGUAUAAGCAUGUAUGAUUAAAAAUAUAGUGAAGAAUUUUUAAACCUAGUAUUAUAAAGUAAAAAUUAGUUAACUUCCGAUGAUUAUUUGUUAAUUAAGAUAAAAUUAUUUUGAUUUGGGUGAUUUUAAAUAAAGAAAAAUAUUAAAUUACAUGACAAAAAUUCUUUAUAAAAUGUUUAUGAUUUUUACAUUGGUUUUAUCACUUUUCCCACUAUUUUAUUUUAAGAUGACCUGCCUUGUUUAAAACACUGUAUUCAUCUUAGUUAAAUUAGAUUCCAUUUGUAAAAUAAUUAACAAAUGAUUUGCUCUAUUGUACAGUGCGGUUAUAAACUGAGUCAGUAUCUCAAGAUUUGAUCCCCAUUAUCAUCAUCUGUGGCCCUAUUUGUUUUAUAAAUGUAUUGUCUUUUUCCAUGCCUGUCACAUCUCUAUUGCUCUUUCAUUUUUCUCUUUGUCCCUUAUAGGGAGCAUUGCCUAUCUCUAGAUUAAGCAAAAGUUGCAUCAUAAAAAAGCACAAUAACCUGCUCAAUCUUUCUCACACAGAGAAAUGUUUGUUAAGUAAUUAAAGUGUAGAUGAUGAUACAAAGAGCUUGAUUAAAUUAGAUGCCAAAGUACCCUUGUGAUUCAGAAUAUGAAUGGUAUUUAAUUUCUUUGAAAUCAUUAAUUGCUGAGUGAGAUUAAUUAAUGCCAAUAUUCCAGAAGAUGUUCCAGUCAGUAAAAUGUAUACAACGUGCAAAAGAUUCAGAACUCUGAAGGGCAACAUUAUUCUAUAAUUAAGAAUUAAGAAUUAAUUCACAUUAAUUACUGGGGAGAAAUACUUUUUAAGAAUUAAUGACUGAGAAAAUGUUUUUAUUUUUUAUUUAGAAAAUUAUUUUGUGCAUGAGCAUUACCGCAAGUUUUGCAAGAAACAUAAAUUUAAAGAAACAAUUAUGUGCACAAGAUGAAUUUAAUAACAUCUUGAUAUAUUCCACGAUUGCGGUUUUAUUUGGUAAAUCUUUCAAGGCACACCAUUUAAAGAGAAUAAAUGAGUCUUGGAAAUCUUGUAGGUAAGGGUAAAUAUUAGGAUGCAUCCAGUUACAUUUACACACACAUACAGUUACAUUUACACACACAUACACGCAUACAGACUGAGUCACGUGUGUGUAUAUAUAUAUAUGAAUUUACCAAUUGAUGUUAACUAAUAUUUAUAAGAGCCAGUUGGAUUGAUAUAUAUUGUUGAACCUGAAAAAUAUUUAUUAUAUACAUGUUUAAAAUACAGAAAUAAAUAGCAAUUGCACUAGGCAUUUGAAACUGUACUAAAAUAUAAGCUGUGAACAUUUUGUGAUCAUUACAAAUUCUUACACUGAAUAAAUAUUUUUAUUUUUACAAUAUUAA